rnacentral:tRNA from 1 species
GGGCUAUAGCUCAGCUGGGAGAGCAUCUGCUUUGCAAGCAGGAGGUCGUCGGUUCGAUCCCGACUAGCUCC